rnacentral:tRNA from 1 species
AGGAAUGUAGCUCAGUUGGUAGAGUGCUUGCCUUGCAUGCAUAAGGCCCUGGGUUCAAUCCCCAACACCACUA